rnacentral:snRNA from 1 species
AUUUUUAUUUAUUUUUUUGAUAAAAAAAAAUCUGUUCUUAUCAGCUUAAUAUCUGGGAAGCAUAUCUAAAAUUUUUGGAACAAGGAGAUGGAACAGGGGCUUGCUCCGUCCACUCCAUGCAUCGAACUGGUAUUGCAGUACUUCCAGGAACGGUGGGUGCACU